GGCUGCAUGGCUGUCGUCAGCUCGUGUCGUGAGAUGUUCGGUUAAGUCCGCUAACGAGCGCAACCCUCGCUGUGUGUUAUAUGUGUCACACGGGACUGCCGGUCUUAAGCCGGAGGAAGGUGGGGAUGAUGUCAAGUCAGCAUGGCCUUUAUAUCCUGGGCUACACACACGCUACAAUGGCCAACACAAUAGGUUGCUAAGCCGCGAGGUGGCGCCAAUCCAUAAAGUUGGUCUCAGUUCAGAUUGUAGGCUGCAACCCGCCUGCAUGAAGAUGGAGUUGCUAGUAACCGCAGGUCAGCUAUACUGCGGUGAAUACGUUCCCGGGGCUU
rnacentral:rRNA from 1 species